AUGGCCGGCAACCGCUGCACCCUCUGGAGAAGUACCACCGCGCUUCUAGCACUCCGAGGAGUCACGUACCGGGCAGCACCUUCAAGAAGGAAUGCGACGACGGCGCCACUGCUGCCCGGACAAGUCCAAGGGUUUCGCCCGGUACGCAUAGGGCAGUGGGGAAGGGGCAUGUCCGACGCCCUUCAGGAAGGUAUGGCUAUGCCCGCAGGUGUCACCGCAUUGAUGACGGACGAGCCACCAGGGAUUUCUCCCACGCAAACGAUCACCACCACCCCGGAUGAUCUGAAGUGCACCACCAAGACUGCCGCCCACCAACAUGUGCCACCACGGAAGGACGAAGAGGCAACGGGCUCGGGGCCAUCCGCCACUCAGGUGACGGGAGGGGACUACCACCACCUCGAAGGAUCCAGACAACCCCUGACACCGCGCCAUCUCCACCAGGGAGCCGCGCCGCCGUGCGCCGGAGCGCCGGCCCGCCCCAACCCACAUGAGGCCCAAAGGGGCCCAGAUCUGGGCGCAGCAGAAGCCGGCGGCCAGCCGCACCACCACGCGCCGCCGCAUCAGGAACGCCUGUGGCGCACAGAAUCAUGUUGCCAAGUCGCACCAUCGCAAGCCGAGGAGCACCGUCACCGGCCAGCGACGCCCGAGCAGAGAGGGCCGCACGCUAGGACUGGCAGACCCGCCGCCGCCGGCACCACACGAGCAAGGCCCGGUGGCGCGCGCUGGCGACGGCGGGAGGAGGGAGCAGCGACGGGGAGCGCUGGAAGGAACGGGGAAGGGGCCCCGGUCGCCUCGCUCGGGGAGGCGACGCGGGGGUACGGGGAGGGGGAGGGGGGAGGGGAGGGGCAAAAGGAUACAUUUUCAGAAAUGGUCACAAAGGUAGCAGGUGAAGUCCAGUUCAUAAAAGCCGAGACCAAGGUCCAAGCGGCAUCCCCUGACCAAGUUAUGAAGAAGAGGCAUGGAGGCUUACCGGGAGGUCUGUCCACACUGGUCUCACGGUGGUUGGACCACGCAGACGGGCAAGGAGACAGCGCCACUGGGUACACCAUAAGCCAAGCAGCCAACAUGAGCGGGCCCCUGCGGCCACGCCAUUGCCCCUGUCCUGUACCAUCAAAGAGGAACUCUCCAUGGCUAGAUCAAUUCAACAGGAGCUACAACGUGGUUAUACAAUACCACAAAAAUCAUUUCGUCAUGAAACUUUACACAUGGGGGGCCUUCCACGGCUGCGUGGGCGGCGUGGCGGUGGCGGCGCUACAGCGGCUCCUCGAUGGCCGACCGGAGUUCCAUGGGAGGCGUCGUCUCCGACUCGAUCUACUCCGGUUCGUGCUGGCUACAGUAGCGACUACGGUUGACGCCAAUAUUGCCUGGAUGGACCUGGCGGGUGGGCAUGGAUCCGGGGAAAACUCCAGGCCGGCGUGGUGGCCGCACCAAAUGGCGGCUGCAAAACAGGAAGGCGAAAGACCGGAAGUCGAACCUCCGAUUCUCACGGCGCCGGCGGCGAGCGCCGACGACGCCCGCAGCCUGCUCGACGGAAUGCCUCCUAGGAAGAAGCGCAAGGGUGCGUUGCCGGUGUGCGCCACCGACCGCAUCGGCACCCUCCCCGACCAUAUCCUCCACCACCUGCUCUCUUUCCUACCAGCGCAGGUGGCUGUGCGGACGUGCGUGCUCGCCCGCCGUUGGUGCGACCUUUGGAGGUCCGCCACAGGCCUGCGCAUUGUCGGCCUCGACGACGACGAGAGGCCUGUCCAGGCCCAAGACCUCCGUAAGUUCGUGGACUAUCUGCUGGUCCUGCGUGAUCGCACGGACCUAGACACUGUUGAGAUCAGAUUUGACACUUUCCUGGAAGACGACCUGCCCUAUGUGAACCUAUGGGUCCGUUCUGCUGUGAUGUGCAAAGUUCGGGUGCUCACCCUUCAUGUAUGUGGCGACAUUCAAUACCUCUGCCUAGAUGACCUGCGUCUUGUCUCUCGGCAUCUGAGAACGCUGGACCUUCAGGGUGUAGCCCUACAGAAGACCUUCCUUGAUUUUGCUAGGUGUCCAGCAUUGGAGGAUCUGAAGAUGGUUAAUUGCCUCAUCAAUGCCAAUAAGAUAUCAUCUCGUUCCCUGAAGUAUUUGAGCAUCACUGAUUGCCGCUCUUACUUGGAUUGCCGGAUCUGUGUUUCUACUCCGGGCCUUGUCUCUCUGGAACUAGAUGCGUUUGAUGGUUCAACCCCUUUUUCUUGA
rnacentral:rRNA from 1 species